UACUACGCUAUGAGGUUGAAUGGUUUACAGAAUAGUUUUUUUUGGUGUCGCUGUUGUGCUCUUUUUAGUCUUGGUGAUUACUUUGUUUUAUGGCAUUUUGAAUCUAAUUUGAGUUAAUUUGCAGAUUAACAGUUUUAUGCUACCAUCUCUCACGUCACUCCUAAAUCUUCACCUUUCAUACGCACUCUCAGUUUGGCCUCCUCCACCACUAUAAGAUUCUGUGCUCCAUUGGCUUUUGCAGAUGCUAUGCUCCAGUCUUGAACUACAGAAAAAUUCAUAAAUAUUUGAUACUUUUUAUAUUGUAUUUGAGUUGUAAUGUAAAUAGCAAAAAACUGAACAAAAUAGAAAGGAAAGUACCACAUAAAAACAUAAAAAAAAUCAUACACAAGUAUUAGAAUAACCAAGAUUAGAGAGAAAAGUACCACUAAAAAUAUAAAAAAAUACAAAAGAAUUAGCAUAACCAAGAUUAGAGAGUUUGCAGGAAAGUACCACAUAAAAAACAUGCAAAAGAAUUAGAAUUACAAAUAUUAGAGAGAGAAAGUUUGCAUUUCGAAAAUAUGGACUGAAAUAAUCUGAUAUUUAUAGGCAUCAAGUGAUCAGCAAAUUGGCUCCAAGAUUGCUUGUUUUUAAAUUUCAAAUUGAAGUUUGGGCGCCAGUUUUGGAGCUAAAUUGUAAAGAGCUAGUUGUUACAGCUGUAUAAAGUGAAGGAAUAAUUUUAUUCAUUGGACAUUU